CAAAUAUAACAACAAGAUGAGCCUCAAAAUUGAUAAGGAAAUAGUUCUCUCCAACAGCUAUGUAUUAGGACAAAUUGAUGGUGUACUUAACCGUCUCCGCGGUAGGAAGAGACUACCUUGUAAUGCAGUGGGUGUGUGGAAGUAUAACUUGAUACACCAAAAGGACAUCUUCUCAAAACCUUUGGUACACGGAAUGUGCACUGACCUACUGAAGACUGGGUAUCAAAAUGAAUGCCAAAAGAAAUGAUUGAACAGACUACUGAAGACUCAAAGAAUGAAUCUCACCGAGCUCUAACCGCCACCACUACUACUCGACCUCUCUUUCGAUUAUCACUCUCAGUCCCUGAUCAUUGUAUGGUUCGAAUGGCCACAGGCUUUCCCUUUUAUACACACAAACCAGCUAGCAGACCAUCAUCUCCUUCAUUCCUUCCUCUCCAUCCAUCCACCCAGAUGACUACAGAGCACAGCUGAACUAAGAUUCCCGUACUCCAUUACAGUGAGCAGUAAGAGAAGCAGUGAGGAGUACUCCAUUACACAGCUACAUGGAGUAGGGGAAGGAGGAGAUGAGGAGCAGGGGUAGCAUACCUGUUCGAGCUGCUGCUCGUAGGUGACGGAGACGACGAACAGGAGCCGCUCUCCGGCGCCAGCAGCCUACUCCAUCAGCCGUCAGCAGCCCACUCCAUCAACCCACUCCAUCCCGCUACCCGGCGCGAGCAUGCGCUCCCCAGCGCAGCAGCAGAUCCCCGUCGCCAGCAUCCGAUUCGAUUCAAGCAGCGCUGCUGCAAAUCCCUCCGCCACCGUGGGGGAAAAAUCAAAGCUUGGCGGCGAGGAGAAGAGGGAUGCAGCGAGGACGCGCGCGAGGGGGAGGGAUGCGUCGCGGUAGAAGAAA